GAGAGAGAGGAGGGGAGUGAGAAAGGGUGAAAGUAGAAGGAGUCCUGCACCAGGAGAGAGCGUGUGUGUAUGUGUGUGUGGAAAAGUGGCAGGCUGUUUCUCUCCUCACUCUUCUCUCUCUUUUUUCUCCUUCUCCUUCUUUUGUUCUUUCAAAUGGCUGAUUCUGUGAGAAGGUGGCUGAUGUGACAGAAACAGGAACAGGAUAAGGCUGACAAACUCAACUCAGAAAGUAAUAAAAAAUAAGCAAGAAGCUGAAGAAACAAUGAGAAGGUGUGGAGCUUAACAUAUGUCUGUGGGUGUGCCCAAAAAGUGCAGAGGAAAAAAAUGAACAUGGAGAGGCAACUUUGUUGGGAAGAAAGAAGAAGAUACCAGCACAGGGAUUCCCAGGAUUGAUGAAGCACAGACUAUAGCUGUCUUUAUGAUUUUUAACAAAUUUUGCCAGCGGAAUCGGCCUAGUCCGCCCCCCAAGCCUCUCUCUGUGUGAUGGCCGAAGGAAGACUGAAUGCUCCUUUUCGGACCGCACUGCUUUCUCUCUCUCUCUCUCUCUCUCUCUCUCUCUCUCUCUCUCUCUCUCUCUCUCACUCCUCUGGCUUUUUGUGUGCUGGACUGAGCAUCCCAGGAGGCAGCGUGGCCUCCAUCGUCCAGAAAAGAGAGCGAGCGGUCAAAGCCCACCUGUUCAGCAUUUACAAAGAAGGAACAAAGAAUGACAAGUCUAUAGUACGUUAAAUCUCCCGAGUCUUAUUAAAGGAGCCUCUUUUUUCUUUUCAUGGCUGUGGAGUAACUCCGGUCCGUUUUUUUUAAAACAUCUGUGAAUUAAGAGAAGAAGAAAAAAUGGAUGGUCUAACCGUUUAAAAUAUGUUUGCCUGACUUAAGCUUUGCUAUAUUCACUAAAAUCAUUCCAUUCUUUAAUCUCUUCAACUGUUCCAACCAUCUUCUUUCCCACCAUUUCCCAGCUGUGACUUCAGAAAAGGUUUCUUCUCUCUCUCUCUCUCUCUCUCUCUCUCUCUCUCUCUCUCUCUCUCUCUCUCUCUCUCUCUCUCUUUCCUUUACCCCCUCCACCCCACCCUCUCCGUCAACGAAAGUCUUUUCAUAAUGAAUGGCAAGGUACGAUAAUAGCCUUGCGGUUUCCAUAGAAACCAGACAGUAGCCCUGUGUGUAUGGCAUACAACCCCCCCCCUCUUUUUUUCUUCCCUCUUUUUUUUUCAAGGGGGCAAAUGAUAGUGGAAUGUGAGGCAAAACACCUCCCUCCCUCCUUCCCUCCCUCCUUCUUACUCCAUGCACUCGUUGCACUGUAUUCGGUUUCCCUUUUUUCCCCCCUUUAGCCUCUGGUCUGGUACUCAGCCUUAUUUCUUUUUCUAUGAGUGUAACCUUAUUGAAUCUUUUGGAUUUUCUGAAAUUGUCAUAAAAUAAAAUAAAGUAUGAACUGAACCGA